UACGUAGGGGGCAAGCGUUUGUCCGGAAUUAUUGGGCGUAAAGAGCGCGUAGGCGGUCCGAUAAGUCGGCUGUGAAAGUCAGGGGCUCAACCCUUGAAAGCCGGCCGAUACUGUCGGACUAGAGUCCGGAAGAGGCAAGUGGAAUUCCCGGUGUAGCGGUGAUAUGCGUAGAUAUCGGGAGGAACACCAGUGGCGAAGGCGGCUUUCUGGGCCUUACCUGACGCUGAGACGCGAAAGCGUGGGGAGCGAACCGG
rnacentral:rRNA from 1 species